AUUGAACGCUGGCGGCAGGCCGAACACAUGCAAGUCGAGCGAGCGGCGGACGGGUGUGUAAUGUCUGGGAAACUGCCUGAUGGAGGGGGAUCACUACUGGAAACGGUAGCUAAUACCGCAUACCCUCAGAUGUGCCCACAUGGGAUUAGCUGGGAGGUUUGGUAACAGCUCACCUAGGCGACGAUCCCUAGCUGUUCUUAGAGGAUGACCAGCCACACGGGAACGUACACAAGGUCCAGACGCCUACGGGAGGCAGCAGUGGGGAAUAUUGCACAAUGGGCGCAAGCCUGAUGCAGCCAUGCCGCGUGUGUGAAGAAGGCCUUCGGGUUGUAAAGCACUUUCAGCGGGGAGGCGUUACCCGCAGAAGAAGCACCGGCUAACUCCGUGCCAGCCGCCGCGGUAAUAC
rnacentral:rRNA from 1 species